rnacentral:lncRNA from 1 species
UGAAUUCUUAAUGCAUACACGAAAUUCACAUAGGUGGAUCCUGCGGUCUUGAAACUUUUUGCAAGACUUCCGUGAGCCAUGAUAAAGACGGGGUGAACUCGAGAAUAAAGGAAUGGGAAAAGGCUGAUAACAUAAUAUGGAGUUAGUUUGGGCCAAAGGAUGACCUUGAUCAUCAUGAAAACUUUUUUGACCCUCCCUAAACUCCACUGUGAGCCUUCAACUGAGCUUGCUUGAAAAAACCUGCUUAAAAACCUUUUGUUGUUCUUGAAGAAUUUGUAUUUGCUUUAAUCUAGUCGCACCUUGACCAUGUGUGAAGAUCAAGAGCUAUUAUUCACAUCUGUUCUCUCUCCAUAGCAAUCUAUUUUUGGGAGUUAGUCAACUCUCCAUUAAUUUGCAUUUUUAAAUUUUUGUAUUUUUACAAUUCCAAGCCUUUUAUACAAUUCCUACCUCAAAAGGGAAAUGAAGCUACAGCUAACUUGCCAUCAUCAACUAUUGUCAAACAGAAUGGUGUAGCUCUUGUUCUAUAAUGGAGACUAUAAGUGCUCUUUCUGGGCUUCUCUGUUACAGCACUGUUAAGAAAAAAAUUGUCGAUGUCAUUGUGGCUAAUCUGAUCCUUCGCCGAUUUACUGUUUAAUCAAAGUACUUGUCAAUUAAUUGUAACAUAAAGUAAUAUGAAAUCAUUUAGCAAUCAAUUUUCUCAAAAGCUAUUGUUGAGGCCAGGGUAAGAGGUUCAUUUAAAAAAGAGGUCAAUCUUAGGGGUGCCAUAGUUGAUUAAUGACUGUUUCAAUCUCUUUGACUGAAAGCUUGCAUCAUUCAUAUUUAGCUUAUAAAGAUAUCACGUGGAACUUUAAAAAAUGAAUCAUCUUUCAAAUUCUGGCCUUAUACUAUCUUUGAUUGAGAUUUCGACAGAAUAUAUUUGAGCUAACCAAAAUGAAAAAUUAAAUAGAUAAUGUUUCCCAUAGAGGUCCACACGCGUGGUUGAAGGAUAAGAAUAAUAACCUGAAAAUUUCCAACUAUAACAUUUAGUUCGAGCCUAUCUGCUCCACAUUUGAUGAGUUACUCAAUAUAUAUAUAUAUCCCACAAUGGAUAUACAAGAUCAUUUAAAAGGUUAAAUAGCAAAGAAUAUUUAAUCCAUUAUCUUAAAGAUUUUUAAUUGGAAGUUUAGAUUCUCUGACAUAGAAUGAGAGCAGACUUUUCCUAAAUCCCUUCUCACAAGGUAUUGAGUACGAUGUAACACAUCUAGUCUAGUAUACAAGAACAUCCAAAAAGGGACAUUACAUACACUCGCAAUUCUCUAUUAACAACCACUUGUGAAAACAAAAAUCGGUGGUGUUUAUGUAUAUAACCAAUGUAUAUGUAUGAGUUAAAUUCCUGUGUUAAACUAGUUAUCUGUGUGCCAAAUUAAACUAUACAUAUGAUUCUACCUUUGCAAGUCCAUUAUUCCAUCAAACGAAUUCUAUUUAGGCAAUUCUGAAGCAGAUUUAAAUAUAAUUAAAGAGCUAUACCUUGACCUCUGACAUAGGACUCAUGAGGUUAUGAUGCUCCUCCUUCAUCUCGUUGUAUCUAUCAAUUAUAGCCCUCAUGCU